rnacentral:rRNA from 1 species
UACGAAGGGGGCUAGCGUUGCUCGGAAUUACUGGGCGUAAAGGGAGCGUAGGCGGAUAGUUCAGUCAGAGGUGAAAGCCCAGGGCUCAACCUUGGAAUUGCCUUUGAUACUGGCUGUCUUGAGUAUGGGAGAGGUUAGCGGAACUCCGAGUGUAGAGGUGAAAUUCGUAGAUAUUCGCAAGAACACCAGUGGCGAAGGCGGCUCACUGGCCCGAUACUGACGCUGAGGCACGAAAGCGUGGGGAGCAAACAGG